rnacentral:rRNA from 1 species
GACGUAGGGGGCAAGCGUUGUCCGGAUUUAUUGGGCGUAAAGAGCGUGUAGGCGGCUAGGUAGGUCCGUUGUGAAAACUCGAGGCUCAACCUCGAGACGUCGAUGGAAACCAUCUAGCUAGAGUCCGGAAGAGGAGAGUGGAAUUCCUGGUGUAGCGGUGAAAUGCGCAGAUAUCAGGAAGAACACCCGUGGCGAAGGCGGCUCUCUGGUACGUGACUGACGCUGAGACGCGAAAGCGUGGGGAGCGAACAGG